AUAGUACUCCCUCCGUCCGGAAAUACUUGUCAUCAAAAUGAAUAAAAGGGGAUGUAUCUAGAUGUAUAUUAGUUCUAGAUACAUCAUUUUAUCCAUUUUGAUGACAAGUAUUUUUGGACGGAGGGAGUACUUG
rnacentral:pre_miRNA from 1 species